rnacentral:rRNA from 1 species
AAUCAACGCUGGCGGCGUGCCUAACACAUGCAAGUCGAACGCGAGAGGGGCUUCGGCCCCGAUUGAGUGGCGAACGGGUGAGUAACACGUGGGUGACCUACCUUCGAGUGGGGGAUAACGUCCCGAAAGGGACGCUAAUACCGCAUAACAUUCCGCUUUUGAACAAGUGGAAAUCAAAGCCGGGGAAUCGUAAGACCUGGCGCUUGAAGAGGGCCCGCGUCCGAUUAGCUAGUUGGUGAGGUAACGGCUCACCAAGGCGACGAUCGGUAGCCGGCCUGAGAGGGCGGACGGCCACACUGGGGACUGAGGACACGGCCCAGACUCCUACGGGAGGCAGCAGUGGGGAAUCUUGCGCAAUGGGCGAAAGCCUGACGCAGCGACGCCGCGUGAGGGAUGACGGCCUGGU